rnacentral:rRNA from 1 species
AUUGAACGCUGGCGGAAUGCUUUACACAUGCAAGUCGAACGGCAGCACGGACUUCGGUCUGGUGGCGAGUGGCGAACGGGUGAGUAAUGUAUCGGAACGUGCCCAGUCGUGGGGGAUAACGUAGUGAAAAUUACGCUAAUACCGCAUACGAUCUAUGGAUGAAAGCGGGGGAUCGCAAGACCUCGCGCGAUUGGCGCGGCCGAUAUCAGAUUAGGUAGUUGGUGGGGUAAAGGCCCACCAAGCCAACGAUCUGUAGCUGGUCUGAGAGGACGACAAGCCAAACUGGAACUGAGACCCGGUCCAGACUCCUACGGGAGGCAGCAGUGGGGAAUUGUGGACAAUGGGCGAAAGCCUGAUCCAGCCAUUCCGCGUGCAGGAUGAAGGCCCUCGGGUUGUAAACUGCUUUUGUACAGAACGAAAAGGUUUCUACUAAUACUAGGAGCUCAUGACGGUACUGUAAGAAUAAGCACCGGCUAACUACGUGCCAGCAGCCGCAGUAA